UACGUAGGGGGCAAGCGUUGUCCGGAAUCAUUGGGCGUAAAGAGCGUGUAGGCGGUUCGAUAAGUCUGCUGUGAAAGUCCAGGGCUCAACCCUGGGAUGCCGGUGGAUACUGUCGAGCUAGAGUACGGAAGAGGCGAGUGGAAUUCCCGGCGUAGCGGUGAAAUGCGCAGAUAUCAGGAGGAACACCAAUGGCGAAGGCAGCUCGCUGGAACGGUACUGACGCUGAGGCGCGAAAGCGUGGGGAGCAAACAGG
rnacentral:rRNA from 1 species